GCCGGAGCACACGCGUCGAGCAUGUGCCCACGCAGCAAGACGACCACUAACCCUGGCGGGAGACUAGCUUUGGCUGAUUUGCGAUGCGCAAACUGCGGCGAUCGUCACACUGCGAACUUCCACGGCUGCCCUGCCCGCAGAACGAUUAAACCGGCCGAAAGAGCGAAGGAAAUGCCCGGACCGUCCUUCCAACUCAUCGACGAGAGCUUCCCUUCGCUGCCAAAGCCUGUACCAUAAAAACAACGCCAAAAUGAACAUUCCAAACGACGACCCUACAAACAAUGAUCGGCAACCGUCGCCUUACAAGCUUAUUUUGAUUCGUCCGUCACGCGCGCCAAACAGCCCAGCUAGAUAUGUAUUUCAUCGUGCAUCACGCAACGGAACAAUACAAUUUCAUAAACUUCCCAACAAUCAUGUGAAGGCUCCUCAUGAAUGCCGCUUUUGCCGUACAAAGACAGUAAUCGAAUUGCAACAACAACUUGCGGAUAUCCGAGCAGUUAAUAAGAAAUUAGUCGAGGAAAUGCAACGUGUGCAAGGCGUGAGUGAAGAACAAUGAAUUUAUUUUUUAAAAACCUUCUAAAGGGCCCAGGAGUAAGGGCUUCUCCCCGUUGCAAGCUCUGGUGAGUUGCUAAAAUUUAAUUUAAUCAGCUAUAUCAGUUAAAGGACAUUUAAUGCAACACGAAGAUGAGUUGCAAACUUUUUAUUAACUGCUACGUACAGAUGCAGCCUGCAAAGCUGAAGUUGUACAUUCUGUUGAGCAGGCAGCAAAAGUGACAAAAAUUAUUUAGCGGAAUUUGGGGCAAGUGUGCCAUACGGGGCAAGAGUGCCACCAAGCAUUUUUCCUGAAAAAUUUAAGUUUAAUGAUCAAUUGUGUAUACAGUUGGUUGCUUUCCAAUGACUAGGUAUACUGAGCCGAAUUUCAUACAGACCAAUCGAUAUUUCCCAUUGUUUUGAACUGAUUUGUGUUGAGUUUCAAAAUUGAGCAGAAUACUAUAAUUUUUUAAUCCAACCAAAUAAGCUCUCAAAAAUAAUGCGAACAAUCAACCGAGAAAAUAUUUACACCACCGUAUAGCUGAGGAAACGUGAAUUUUUUGUGGGGUUAGUUGAAAAAAACUUUCUUUUUGUCACUGAAAAAUUCAAUUUAAAAAAAGAUACAACUUUUGGGGCAAAAGAGCCAUCUCUAUUUGGAGCAAGUGUGCCAUCAUCUUUCAUAGGCGCGAGCUGUCAAAAAUGUAAACAUUGUUGUAGCGUUCAGCGGUAUGGUGCGCUUUUACGAGCGGAUUCUACUCCGGAAAAACAGACCAGCAACAACCCAUAUUGCGAUACAGUUUGUGAUGAAAAGGGGUUCAUUGGUGACUCAAGACAUGUAGGAAUACAUACACUAGUGGUACAAACGUAAUAAUUUCCAAUUAUCAAAGAAAUACGGUUAUUUUAACCAGGUGGCCGUCUUGCCCCAUACGAGUGGCACUCUUGCCCCAUAGCCCAAAAAAACAACGUCUUUUUGGACCCUUUUUAAAACGCUUCAAAAACUGUUUUGUUUGCACUUUUUACAAGCGAAACUCAUUUAUAAGUGAGGAAAUAGAUGUAAAAUGGUUGUGAGACUUAAAUCGGCUUUUGGAAAACACGUUUUAGUGCGUUAUAACUUGAAAUGCUUAAGGUGGCACACUUGCCCCAAAUUCCGCUACAAAAAACCAGCAUUCAUCAAAUGUACUAAUGUGACACAACUGUUCUGGAUAGAAGGAACGACACAAAACACAAUGCUAACUAAGUAAUAUGUAACAUAUUUUUGCGACCAAAACCAUUCAAGUUCCUUACAAUAAAUUCCUGUUAUCGAUCUGCAAACAAGAUUAGCCUACAAAGCACUAUCAAAAUUACACUUUUUAAAAUAGUUCCGAACUCUACCUUUUACGUAACUCAAAUGUGUUUGCUUAGAAGCAAAAUGAUUUCAAUCGAUAAAAAAAUUGAUUCCCUCAUAUAAUUGCUGGCAAGGAUACACCUUAAUGAUACACUAAGCUGUAUGCGUGCUACUUAUUGCAUCAUUUUAUAUCCCCGUUGGGUCAUUCAUUCUAUCAGCUGCAAAUCGAUCAAGCUCUUUUCUAGCAACAGACCAUGUUGUUUUUGAAUUGAUGUGAAUACAACUGUCAUUAAAUAAACCUUCAACAUAACAAGUUUAAAGAUUUUUCACGGACUUUAGCUACAACUAGAGUGAACCUAUAGGUUAGCUCUCUCACUAACGUAGAAUAUAACGAAGCAUCAAUAGCGCAUAGA